GGCUUUUAAAGCAAAUGAAGAAGAAGAAGAAGAAUGAAGACAGUGAAGAAGAAGCAAAUUUUUUCGUAGGUUUGAAGCAAACUUUUAUUUGGGUUUUUAAAGCAAACAAUGGUGGAACAGUGCGUGUGUUUUCGUGGGUUUGAAGAACGAAGAUGAAUAGUAGCUUAAAGAAAUGCACGAAGACAGUAGCAAGAAGAAGAUCAAGAUGAUGAAAUUUUGUGGCUUUGAAGAAAAAUUGAAGCUUGAAGAAGAAGAAGAUGAUGAAACAGUGCGUGUGUUUUCGUGGUUUAAUGCAACAGUAUAUGGGUUUAUGAAAAUAGAACGUUAAAAGGCGGGUUUUUAAUUUAUUAGAGGGCAUUUAUUUGCUGCAGGCUUACUAGAACCGAAGCAUAUACUCAUUUAAACGGUUAUUUGCUGUGGGCUCCUUGGAACCGGAGCAUAUAAAUGAUUAAUUGUUGCGGUUCGAUUUUUGCUUUUUUUUUAAAACGCUUAUUUGCUACGGUUUUUUAAGAACCGCUGCAUUUGAUCUUUUUUUUUACCUAAUUAUUUUAUGCUAUUUAAUGCUGCAUUUGCUAGAAAUCGCAGCAGAUAUGUUUUAUUUCCACUAGUGAUGUGAAAGGGAUGAAGGAAUUAGAGUUGAAAAUGCUGGAUUACUCUAUGCUCAAAGAAGCUAUGGAUGGACCGGAGAUUUUAUGUACAUAUAAAACACUCAUCUUCCUAGAUCGAAGGGAUACACAAACCAUGUUCAACCAAACAGAAAUUGCCACCACUGUUCCUUAUUACUUGAGCAAUGUAUUUGAACGCAUUGAAACAGAACCAGGUUGCUGCAAACCCUGAUAAGCGGUUUUGGAUGUCUAACUUUCUCAACCUUGAUAUCAUGCACACAACUGAGGAGGAUAAGAGGACACAAGUGAUUGGCGGCUGGAAGCAUUAGGUCAAAGCGUAUUGCCCUGUGGAUUUCAAGAAAUGCAAUAUGG